GACGAACGCUGGCGGCGUGCCUAAUACAUGCAAGUCGAACGGAAAGGCCCUGCUCUUGCUGCGCGCUCGAGUGGCGAACGGGUGAGUAACACGUGUGUAACCUGCCCCUGUCUUUCGGAUAACAUUAGGAAACUGGGGCUAAUAUAGCAUAGGAGCUCUUGCUGCACGGUGGGGGAUGGUAAGUUUCGGCGGUUGGGGAUGGACUCGCGGCUUAUCAGCUUGAUGGUGGGGUAGUGGCUUACCAAGGCUUCGACGGGUAGCCGGCCUGGGAGGGUGACCGGCCACAUUGGGACUGAGGGACGGCCCAGACGCCAACGGGCGGCAGCGGUGGAGAGUAUUGCGGAGUGAGCGGGAGCCUGAUGCAGCGGCGCCGGGUGCGGAAUGACGGCUUUCGGGGUGUAAACCACUUUGGAAGGUAACGAGGCGUGAGUGACGGUAAUGGGUAAGAAAGCACCGGCUAACUACGUG
rnacentral:rRNA from 1 species